GGGGAGAUACCCAAGCGGCCAAAGGGGACGGACUGUAAAUCCGUUGGCACUGCCUUCACAGGUUCGAAUCCUGUUCUCCCCACCA
rnacentral:tRNA from 1 species